rnacentral:rRNA from 1 species
GACGAACGCUGGCGGCGUGCCUAAUACAUGCAAGUCGAACGAAACUUUCUUACACCGAAUGCUUGCAUUCACCGUAAGAAGUUGAGUGGCGGACGGGUGAGUAACACGUGGGUAACCUGCCUAAAAGAAGGGGAUAACACUUGGAAACAGGUGCUAAUACCGUAUAUCUCUAAGGAUCGCAUGAUCCUUAGAUGAAAGAUGGUUCUGCUAUCGUUUUUAGAUGGACCCGCGGCGUAUUAACUAGUUGGUGGGGUAACGGCCUACCAAGGUGAUGAUACGUAGCCGAACUGAGAGGUUGAUCGGCCACAUUGGGACUGGGACACGGCCCAAACUCCUACGGGAGGCAGCAGUAGGGAAUCUUCCACAAUGGACGCAAGUCUGAUGGAGCAACGCCGCGUGAGUGGAGAAGGUCUUCGGAUCGUAAAACUCUGUUGUUAGAGAAGAACACGAGUGAGAGUAACUGUUCAUUCGAUGACGGUAUCUAACCAGCAAGUCACGGCUAACUACGUGCCAGCCGCCGCCGUAAGAC